AACAGGAGUUUUAGAAAAUAGAAAAAGGAUUGGGAUAGAAAUAAAUGGAACCCAUCUCUCUCUUUCACCUUCUACGUCCCUCUCUGUACUCCACCGCCCUCCUGUGCUCCCUCCGUUCAGCCACUGCGCCACCACCGUGACAGUUUCGGCCACUCCACCGUGAUACAUGUAUCACACACCACCAACCCCAACUCUCAACUCUCCCUACUUUCUCUUAAUUUUGGAGCUUAGGUUGCAAACCCACCGCCACUUAACUUUCUCUCAAUUUUGAAGCUUAGGUUGCAAACCCACCGCCACUUAACUUUGCAAAGUCUUGAAAUUAGAGAAUUGAUAUUAUAUGAAAUGGUAUAUUGUUGAUAUCAGAUUGGGAGAUGUAAUAUAAAUAGACGACGUACGUUUUCCAGAGUAUAGUGGCGAGAGAUCUCGCUAGAUGGACAGCUGCGCGCGUCAAGUCACUGUCUCUUUUGUCGAGAAAGUUAAGAUGGUGUAUAUGUGGCAUGUUUAGUUGAGGAUUUGUAGAUAUGUAUAGUCUAGUUUUUCUUGUUGUAGCAGGUUGCUAAUUGUAUAGUAGUGUGUGUGAGUCAUGUUAAAGAAAAAAAAGUACACAGAAGAAAGACUUUUUCGUAAUAAGAGGCUGAGCGUAUCAAAAUGUGACACCAAUUAUUCGGUUUAAUAAAUCGAGUAAGGGGUGUUAUGGGAUGUCCUAAGCGCACAUGAUGUAAAACAAACUGCUAGAUUCAAUUACAUUGAUUAUGAACACAUCA